rnacentral:tRNA from 1 species
ACCUGGGUGGCUCAGUCGGUUGAGCGUCUGACUUCGGCUCGGGUCAUGAUCUCGCGGUCUGUGGGUUCAAGCCCCACGUCGGGCU